CAUUUCCUACGGGGGGCAGCAGUGGGGAAUAUUGCACAAUGGGGGAAACCCUGAUGCAGCGACGCCGCGUGAAGGAAGAAGUAUUUCGGUAUGUAAACUUCUAUCAGCAGGGAAGAAAAUGACGGUACCUGACUAAGAAGCCCCGGCUAACUACGUGCCAGCAGCCGCGGUAAUACGUAGGGGGCAAGCGUUAUCCGGAUUUACUGGGUGUAAAGGGAGCGUAGACGGAGGAGCAAGUCUGAUGUGAAAAUCCGGGGCCCAACCCCGGAACUGCAUUGGAAACUGUUUAUCUAGAGUGUCGGAGA
rnacentral:rRNA from 1 species